GAGUUUGAUCCUGGCUCAGGACGAACGCUGGCGGCGUGCUUAACACAUGCAAGUCGAACGCUGAAGCUCAGCUUUUGUUGGGUGGAUGAGUGGCGAACGGGUGAGUAACACGUGAGUAACCUGCCCCCUUCUUUGGGAUAACGCCCGGAAACGGGUGCUAAUACUGGAUAUUCACUGGUCUUCGCAUGGGGGUUGGUGGAAAGGGUUUUUCUGGUGGGGGAUGGGCUCGCGGCCUAUCAGCUUGUUGGUGGGGUGAUGGCCUACUAAGGCUUUGACGGGUAGCCGGCCUGAGAGGGUGACCGGUCACAUUGGGACUGAGAUACGGCCCAGACUCCUACGGGAGGCAGCAGUGGGGAAUAUUGCACAAUGGGCGCAAGCCUGAUGCAGCGACGCCGCGUGAGGGAUGGAGGCC
rnacentral:rRNA from 1 species